GGAUGAAGCCGAGCAGUGUAAGAAGAACGUUCAGGACCACAGUCAUACCGCAUCCAACAGUCAUGCAGACCGCCAGAGGUGGGAGAAAGAUGGCAAGGACGAAGCGAAUGCAAUAGUAGUCAAAACAACA
rnacentral:snRNA from 12 species